GUCUCCCAACCCAUGAUGAUGAGCUAUAAUUCUCCUUUCUGAGAGCGAACUGAGGACAGAACUGUGGCUUUGUUCACAAGCUCUAUCAUUGAUGAGCGUUCAUAUUGUUUUUGGCGAUGUUGAAGAAAGGAGUAUGAUCUGAGUGGU
ensembl:snoRNA U3 Small nucleolar RNA U3